CCCGGGUGGCAAGGCCACAGCACUGAAAGCAUGGCAGCUUCUGUCAAAGGAGCCACCUGUGGCCUCUGUGCUCAGGAGGGAGCUGGGAGAAUUGAGUCAGUGAUCGGAGACUGAAGAUAUGUGAGAGAGAAGAGACAAGGAUGGAACCAGGAAACAGGAGUGAGGUAGAGGGAUGGGUCUUGGAAAACCAGAGGAGUCUCCUUAGGCUCCUCCCCAACUAUGAAGGAAAGCACUGCAGUUUCAAGGACAACUCUCAGCAUGCAGGGGUUUUUUUUGUGAGACAUGGUAAAGAAACAAAAAGACAAAUUCUCUUAAGAUUCCAAACAGCCACUAGGGGACAGUCAAAACACUGGGUAAUGGAGCAAGGCGAGUCCCUGGCUCAGAAUCUUCAAAUAAAAGCUGUUUUGCAGGAUUUUAAAAGCAUUUGAUUGUUUAGCAGGGGAGUGGGGGAGAGAACGGGUAUCUUCUUGAUCGCAUUAAAAUGAACAUUAAUGGGAAAGAACAGUUAGACUAUCACACCAGCCUGCAAGGAUUUGUACUGGCACACAUUCCCACGGCAGUGAGAUGGCAGCUCAAAGUCUGCCCGUGCCUUAGGGACAACAGUUGUAGGACACUGACUCAGCACAUAGGAUGUCGUGAGGUCAGUCCCCGAUAUCCUCUGAAUUAACGGUGCUUGCAAAACAACAAAAGAUCAAGGCUAACAGACCAAAACACUAAUCACUGGCAUCGACCUUAUGGGACAUGCAUAGGCAGCUGGACUGAAAGAUCAUUUGCUGUCUACAUGUGUUUUUAAUGUAAGUAAUGUCUUUUUAGAGACCGAAGUCAGAAUUAUUACUCUAAAAAAAUUCCCAUAGCUCCAUUUAACCCACGCUAUUUGUGGGAGGUGAGGGAGAAAUGACUCAGAAAAUUGCUAAAAUGCUUGUGAAAAUGCAGAUGAAAUGGUGACAGACACUGAAGCACUCAGCUCUUAUGCUUUAAAAAAUCUUUCCCAAAAGAGAAUCGGGCUAGGAGUGGGGAGGGCAGGAACAGGAACUAAUU
rnacentral:lncRNA from 9 species